GAUGAACGCUGGCGGCGUGCCUAAUACAUGCAAGUCGAGCGAACGGACGAGACGCUUGCUUCUCUGAUGUUAGCGGCGGACGGGUGAGUAACACGUGGAUAACCUACCUAUAAGACUGGGAUAACUUCGGGAAACCGGAGCUAAUACCGGAUAAUAUUUUGAACCGCAUGGUUCAAAAGUGAAAGACGGUCUUGCUGUCACUUAUAGAUGGAUCCGCGCUGCAUUAGCUAGUUGGUAAGGUAACGGCUUACCAAGGCAACGAUGCAUAGCCGACCUGAGAGGGUGAUCGGCCACACUGGAACUGAGACACGGUCCAGACUCCUACGGGAGGCAGCAGUAGGGAAUCUUCCGCAAUGGGCGAAAGCCUGACGGAGCAACGCCGCGUGAGUGAUGAAGGUCUUCGGAUCGUAAAACGCUGUUAUUAGGGAAGAACAUAUGUGUAAGUAACUGUGCACAUCUUGACGGUACCUAAUCAGAAAGCCACGGCUAACUACGUG
rnacentral:rRNA from 1 species